UAUGAAUUCUUUUAUAAUUGAAGACGGAAAUGUAAUUGACACACAACACGAACUUUUAAAUGAAACUACAAAUGUUUACAAAAUAUUAUACACAUCUGAAAAGACGGACGCUUCGGCACAAAAUUAUUUAUUAAAUAAAAUGACAAAGACGUUAAGUGAUGAAGACAGAGACGCAUGUGAAGGGGAAAUAACUCUUGACGAAGUUUCAUCUGCUAUUAAAUCUUUUGCCAAUGAUAAAUCACCAGGCUGUGAUGGCUUGACUGCCGAAUUCUACCGGAUUUUUUUCAGCUUAAUUGGUAGUGAUCUGGUAGAAGUAAUUAACGAUGCUUUUAAUUAGGAAAAAUUAACUUUUACCAUGCGUCGUGGUGUAAUUGUUUUAAUUUGGAAAUGAAAUGAAAAACAACUUCUCAAAAACUGGCGACCCAUCUCUUUAUUAAAUUGUGAGUAUAAAGUUAUCACUAAAGCUUUGGCGAGUAGAAUUAGAUAAUGUUUACCAAACAUCAUCCACCCAAAUCAGAAAUGUUCAGUUAAAGGCAGAUCAAUUCAUGACGGAGCAUCAUUAAUAAGGGACUUAAUAGAAUAUGUUAAUCGUAAUAAUCUACCUGGGUUAAUACUUUCUUUAGAUCAAACAAAAGCUUAUGAUAGAGUAGAAUGGGACGUUCUGUUUAAAGUUUUACAAAACUUUAAUUUUGGGCCAAACUUUAUUAAAAUGAUUACACUGAUAUUCAAUCAGCUGUUACGGUAAAUGGGUAUGUUUCAAACUUGUUUAAUCUUUCUCGGGGUAUUAGGCAAGGGUGCCCGAUCAGCACUGUUCUGUAUAUUUUGAUAGCUGAAACUUUGGCUGAAGCUGUUCGGGAAGAUUCCAAAAUUAAUGGGAUAACUUUACCAGAUGGCUUCGUUAGUAAGUGGGUAGGGUACUCGGACGACGGUAACGCAACUCUAUCAGACUUAGACUCAGUCAAACAACUUUUCAAAAUUCUACAGAACGUGCAUCUGGAGCUAAAGUAAAUCUUCAGAAAACCAACGGUUUCCUAAUGGGGAAACUUAGGUAUGAGAAAGACACUCCUCUUGAUAUAAGAUGGAAUAAUGAAAAAAUUAAAAUAUUAGGAUUUUAUUUUGGCAACAUUGACGUCUCAGCAGAUAAUUGGGAACCCAAAAUUAAAAAAAUUAAAACAAUUCUAAAUAUAUGGAGUAACAGAAAAUUAACAUUGCAUGGCAAGUAUAUAGUUGCUGUAAAUUCACUCGCCACUAGUUGCUCUUGGUAUUUAUCAAACGUUUUGGAACUUCCGGAAAAAUAUGCUAAACAAAUUGACACAAUGAUCUUUGAUUUUAUUUGGAGUUAUAGAAAACAUUUUAUAUCAAAAGAGCAAAUUCAACUACCUAAGGUGGGUUGGGGGUUGUAAAUAUUCGGCUAAAAAUUAAAGCACAAAGAAUUAAAUUUGUAAGUAGACUUUUGAUUUUAGAUGGAGAGGGAAAUUGGAAAUCCUUAGCAGAUUACUUUUUAGGCCAAUACAAAAACUUAAACACUGAAAGACACAUUUUAAAAUGUAAAAUUAUAAACAAAAAAGGCAAUUGUAACCUAAUGCCGAACAUUUACAAAGGCAUAUUAUUAAUCUGGGACGAACUCGACAUUACACGCGACACGGAGAGCUAUCAACAGAUUCUGUAUGAACCUCUCCAUGACAACCCGACGAUAAGUAACACACAAUACAAAAGUAUACGUAGCGAACGACUAAAUUUAGUCAGAGACAUAUUAUGGGACUUAGGGACGAACGACUUUAUUGACUUCGCUGGUUGCUCGACUAGCGCGGCAUUUUAUCGCCAAAUAAAAGACCUACAGGACAACUUUCCGCGACCUCUAUUGUGGAGAUUAAAACACGAAGACCCCUACGAUGGUGACUUAGACGCCAUCUUUCGUAUCAACGUAGGUGAUAGGAAUAAAGGCGUGACAGUCGCGAAAACUAGGGACAUAUAUGUAGUUCUGCUAUUACGAACUUAUAAAGACGCAUCGUUUAAGUCCAAACAGAAAACCAUUUUUAAUGAAAACAUAAACUGGAUUUUGUUUUUGGCAAACACUAAAUUCUGGAUUAAUUAAAAAUCACGAUUUUGACUUAAUUUAUAAAAUGAUUAGAAAUGUAAUUGCAGUUAGAAACACCUUUAUGAUUGAAAAAUUGAGUCCACUUCUAUGUGCCGUGUGUGAGACGGAGUGUACUCAGUCUUGCACGCCUUUUUAUUAAACAAAUUGAACCUAUUUUCAAAAACGUUUUGGCAACAAAUUCAGAUUAAAUCCAUACACAAUGAUUUUUGGAAUCAAACAUAACGUCGAACUUGGGAAUUUUUCUCUGGAGUAAAGCAAUAAGCGUAAUUUGGACCACACGAAAACUAUUAGAGGGAAAUAAGCUAUAUAAUGAAGUGGCACUUUUCAAACAUUUAGUAUAUUCAAGGGUCGAAACAAUAUGUUGCCGCAUUAGAACGGCCUAAUAGAAGAGACAAAUUCUUGAAACACUGGUGCUUCGAAGGGGUCGUUGUCUCGUGCAAUGACGCCUUCGACAUUACAUAUCAGCUGUGAUAAUUAAUGGUGAAAUAUGCACAAAAUGUAAAAAAAAUAGGCCUGGACCAUCUCCCCCGCCCAAAAACAAAAAUAAACCCACAGAAAACGAAGACGAAACAAAACCCACAAACAAGUAUUUUUAAAAGUAUUUUUCCAGUGGUCUGCUGUCUUUAUCGCCAAUGAUUGGAUACAACUGGUUCUGUUUGUCAUCCCUCGAUAUUUCAGGUCAUUUGAAACAUCUCUUGUAGGAAAUUUUAAACUUUCACAGCAUGAUAAUAGUCUUAGGUAUUAAGCACUUUCCAACCUUUGUUUUAAGAAGAGCCUUUAUGCCAAUCUAAACAAGACCUAACAUUACUGUGCCCCGAUUCUAUGUUUGUGUGUACUGUCACCCCACCUAUUUUACGCUAGGUAAGGCCAUGUUGCAUCACUCUGAAUGGGGCUCAAGGCAACAAUCUGUCUGCCUCCCACUUUAUGCCAAUCUAAACAAGACCUAACAUUACUGUGCCCCGAUUCUAUGUUUGUGUGUACUGUCACCCCACCUAUUUUACGCUAGGUAAGGCCAUGUUGCAUCACUCUGAAUGGGACUCAAGGCAACAAUCUGUCUGCCUCCCACUUUAAAGCGACAGACCUUAGUUUUUACACACUACAGCGUAGUUUGCACUAUUAGAGUCGGGGUUUUUUGUAAUUUAGUUUUUUUUUGAUAAUUGAAUCAGACGUUAUUCAGAUUGUUUGUGUUUCUCGCCAUCCUGGUGUUUCUAAUACCUCGAAAUGCAGCUUUAAAAGUAAAAACAACUGACAUACCUCUGAGAUGUAACCGCUAUGGCGACGAGCUCUAGUGUAGCUUUUAAGGGCAUUUCCCCGUGUGAAACGUUGCUCUCCAUCACUAACCAGUAUACACAUCGUUACACUGGAUCACGUUCAAACCUUUAGGCUACCUUUAUGGAAUAGUAACACGGGAUAUUUCAUAUUCAAUGUUCCGAAUAAUACAUAUCAUAGUCAAUGACAUACCAGCAGUGGACUGUGAAUCGAACAGGGGAAAACCGCAGUGGGGUUCGAUCUUACGAGUCACUGCAUCUCAGACAUAUACUUGGUGCAUUUGAAAAACAAACAGACCGACAGACUAAGAGAUAUUUUAUAUUUACCCUAUAAAAACGUAAAAUAUAAUAAAAGCAGUAUAUUGUUUAUACAUCAAUUUUUCUGGUGUUGUGAGGCAUUAGAACAAUAUGAAUAAAAACCAUCCAAGUGAAUGCUUACACACGUUAUACAAUAUAGUACAUAUUGGGACAUCUGCAUUUACAUUAAGUUAUUACCACACGAGCAUUUCGCGCAUGCAAGUUAUAUAAAAUAACUGAGCAGUACUUCCUCUUAGAUAAAAAAAAUAGUAAAACAAAAAUAGAGCAUACAUAUAGCAUUAGUAGAUAAAA
rnacentral:lncRNA from 1 species